UACGUAGGGUGCGAGCGUUGUCCGGAAUUAUUGGGCGUAAAGAGCUUGUAGGCGGUUUGUCGCGUCUGCUGUGAAAUCUCAAGGCUCAACCUUGAGCUUGCAGUGGGUACGGGCAGACUAGAGUGUGGUAGGGGAGACUGGAAUUCCUGGUGUAGCGGUGAAAUGCGCAGAUAUCGGGAAGAACACCCGUGGCGAAGGCGGCUCUCUGGGACGGUACUGACGCUGAGACGCGAAAGCGUGGGGAGCGAACAGG
rnacentral:rRNA from 1 species